CAAAAGAAGUCAUCAUUGAAAAAUGUCACCUAAACUCUCACCUUGUUUAGCAACAACAAUAAACAGAGAAAAGCAAUCCAGUGAAAGAAUAUGAAAAGAAGUAUGGACUUGAUUACAGGAAAAAUGAUGAUUGCUAGUAUUAGGGUGAAGAAGUGAGACCCUACAUGGCUUUUUAGUGCAUGGAUGGAGCAGAGACACGUCUAUGAACCACUGCCUAUGCAAACUGAUUACUCGGCAGUAUAAUUUCUCAGUUUUUACAAGUAAAUGAGUGCUUCUCACUAUGGAUUUAGCUUGCGCUUCAAUUUAGGAGAAUGUGUCUGGAUAGAGGCUGCCCUAUCAGUCUGCCUCCUGUAAUGUACAUUUGGAAUACAGCCACAGCUACAAUGGACAAAGGAUGAGUGAGAAAUAACAUUCUGCUCUUGUAAGGUACUGAAAUUCUGGAUUCAUUUGUUAUGACACAUUGCUGAUAUUCUC
rnacentral:lncRNA from 1 species